GGUGAACGCUGGCGGUAGGCCUAACACAUGCAAGUCGAACGGAAGGACAGUAAGCUUGUGCUUUUACCGGUGGCGGGGGGCGGAUGGGUGACGCGUGCAUCGUCAUCUUCUUUUUCGUGGAGGAUUACGUGGGGAAGCUUCCGCUACCACAGCAUAUGAUGUACCGCUUAAAUCAAUGGAUCUUCGCAGCUUUCGCGACUGAAUUAGCCGAUGUCGCAUUAGAUAGUUGGCUGGGUAACGGCCCACCAAGUCGACGAUGCGUAGCCGAUCUGAGAGGAUGAUCGGCCACACUGGAACUGAGACACGGUCCAGACUCCUACGGGAGGCAGCAGUAGGGAAUAUUGGGCAAUGGGCGAAAGCCUGAUCCAGCCAUACCGCGUGAGUGAAGAAGGCCUUCGGGUUGUAAAGCCCUGUUGUUGGGAAAGAACAGAAGUAGAUUAAUACACGGCCGUUUUGACGGUACCCAAAGAAUAAGCAACGGCUAACUACGUG
rnacentral:rRNA from 1 species